ACGUGAUCUGCAUGAGGUCAGCCUGCCAGUGAGCAGUUAAACGGCCGCGGUACCCUAACCGUGCGAAGGUAGCGCAAUCACUUGUUCUUUAAAUGAGGACUAGUAUGAACGGCAUCACGAGGGUUAUACUGUCUCCCCCUUCUAAUCAGUGAAACUGACCCCCCCGUGAAGAGGCGGGGAUAAAAAUAUAAGACGAGAAGACCCUAUGGAGA
rnacentral:rRNA from 1 species